rnacentral:rRNA from 1 species
ACCCUUGACAUCCUGCGAACCCGGAAGAGAUUCCGGGGUGCCUUCGGGAACGCAGAGACAGGUGCUGCAUGGCUGUCGUCAGCUCGUGUUGUGAAAUGUUGGGUUAAGUCCCGUAACGAGCGCAACCCUUGUCCUUAUUUGCCAGCGAGUAAUGUCGGGAACUCUAAGGAGACUGCCGGUGACAAACCGGAGGAAGGUGGGGACGACGUCAAGUCAUCAUGGCCCUUACGGGUAGGGCUACACACGUGCUACAAUGGCCGGUACAAAGGGCUGCGAGCUCGCGAGAGUCAGCGAAUCCCUUAAAGCCGGUCUCAGUCCGGAUCGGAGUCUGCAACUCGACUCCGUGAAGUCGGAAUCGCUAGUAAUCGUGAAUCAGAAUGUCACGGUGAAUACGUUCCCGGGCCUUGUACACACCGCCCGUCACACCAUGGGAGUGGACUGCACCAGAAGUGGUUAGCCUAACGCAAGAGGGCGAUCACCACGGUGUGGUUCAUGACU